UACGAAGGGGGCUAGCGUUGUUCGGAAUUACUGGGCGUAAAGCGCACGUAGGCGGACAUUUAAGUCAGGGGUGAAAUCCCAGAGCUCAACUCUGGAACUGCCUUUGAUACUGGGUGUCUUGAGUAUGGAAGAGGUGAGUGGAAUUCCGAGUGUAGAGGUGAAAUUCGUAGAUAUUCGGAGGAACACCAGUGGCGAAGGCGGCCAUCUGGACCGCAACUGACGCUGAGGCGCGAAAGCGUGGGGAGCAAACAGG
rnacentral:rRNA from 1 species